ACGGAAGGCAGCAGUGGGGAAUAUUGGGCAAUGUGCGAAAGCCUGACCCAGCAACGCCGCGUGAGGGAAGAAGGUUUUCGGAUUGUAAACCUCUGUCCUCAGGGACGAAAGAAGUUACGGUACCUGAGGAGGAAGCCCCGGCUAACUACGUGCCAGCAGCCGCGGUAAUACGUAGGGGGCGAGCGUUGUCCGGAAUGACUGGGCGUAAAGGGCGUGUAGGCGGCCGAUUAAGUCUGGAGUGAAAGUCCUGCAUUCAAUGUGGGAAUUGCUUUGGAGACUGGUUGGCUUGAGUGCGGAAGAGGUAAGUGGAAUUCCCAGUGUAGCGGUGAAAUGCGUAGAGAUUGGGAGGAACACCAGUGGCGAAGGCGACUUACUGGGACGUAACUGACGCUGAGGCGCGAAAGCGUGGGGAGCGAACAGGAUUAGAUACCCUGGUA
rnacentral:rRNA from 1 species